GACGAACGCUGGCGGCGUGCUUAACACAUGCAAGUCGAACGAAGUGGCGAACGGGUGAGUAACGCGUAAUCAACCUGCCCUUCAGAGGGGGACAACAGGUGGAAACGACUGCUAAUACCGCAUACUGAAGGAGGGGAUUGAGUCUGAUAAGCUAGUUGGAGGGGUAACGGCCCACCAAGGCGAGGAUCAGUAGCCGGUCUGAGAGGGUGAACGGCCACAUUGGGACUGAGACACGGCCCAGACUCCUACGGGAGGCAGCAGUGGGGAAUCUUCCGCAAUGGACGAAAGUCUGACGGAGCAACGCCGCGUGAGUGAUGACGGCCUUCGGGUUGUAAAGCUCUGUUAAUCGGGACGCGGUACCGAAAUAGAAAGCCACGGCUAACUACGUGCCAGCAGCCGCGGUAAUUC
rnacentral:rRNA from 1 species